AGCAGCCGCGGUAAUUCCAGCUCCAAUAGCGUAUAUUAAAGUUGUUGCAGUUAAAAAGCUCGUAGUUGAAUUUCGGAGUUUGUCGGUUGGUCGGGCUUCACUGUCCGCACUGACCUGAUGGAUUCCUACCUUCUGAAUAACUGGCAUGCUAUUAAUUUAGUGUGUCGGGGAAGCAGAGCUAUUACCUUGAAAAAUUAGAGUGCUUAAAGCAGGCUUACGCUUGAAUAGAUUAGCAUGGAAUAAUAAAAUAGGACGGCUUGGUUCUAUUUUGUUGGUUUCUAGGAUCACCGUAAUGAUUAAUAGGGAUAGUU
rnacentral:rRNA from 1 species